GCCCCGGCUAACUACGUGCCAGCAGCCGCGGUAAUACGUAGGGGGCGAGCGUUGUCCGGAAUGAUUGGGUGUAAAGGGUACGCAGGCGGUCUAUUAAGUUUGGCGUGAAAGCCCGGGGCUUAGCUCCGGUAAGCGUUGAAAACUGGUAGACUUGAAUAGUGGAAGAGAUAGUGGAAUUCCUAGUGUAGCGGUGAAAUGCGUAGAGAUUAGGAAGAAUACCAAUGGCGAAAGCAACUAUCUGGACACAUAUUGACGCUGAGGUACGAAAGCGUGGGGAGCAAACAGGAUUAGAUACCCUGGUAGUCCACGCAGUAAACGAUGAAUACUUGAUGUAGGAGGUAUCGACCCCUUCUGUGUCGAAGUUAACGUAUUAAGUAUUCCACCUGGGGAGUACGACCGCA
rnacentral:rRNA from 1 species